rnacentral:rRNA from 1 species
CCUGACUGCUAUCGGAUUGAUACUAAGCCAUGCGAGUCAUUGUAGCAAUACAAGGCAUACGGCUCAGUAACGCGUAGUCAACCUAACCUAUGGACGGGAAUAACCUCGGGAAACUGAGAAUAAUGCCCGAUGGAACACUAUACCUGGAAUGGUUUGUGUUCCAAAUGAUUUAUCGCCAUAGGAUGGGACUGCGGCCUAUCAGUUUGUUGGUGAGGUAAUGGCCCACCAAGACUAUUACAGGUACGGGCUCUGAGAGGAGUAGCCCGGAGAUGGGUACUGAGACACGGACCCAGGCCCUAUGGGGCGCAGCAGGCGAGAAAACUUUGCAAUGUGCGAAAGCACGACAAGGUUAAUCCGAGUGAUUUGUGCUAAACGAAUCUUUUGUUAGUCCUAGAAACACUAACGAAUAAGGGGUGGGCAAGUUCUGGUGUCAGCCGCCGCGGUAAAACCAGCACCUCAAGUGGUCAGGAUGAUUAUUGGGCCUAAAGCAUCCGUAGCCGGCUCUGUAAGUUUUCGGUUAAAUCUGUACGCUUAACGUACAGGCUGCCGGGAAUACUGCAGAGCUAGGGAGUGGGAGAGGUAGACGGUACUCGGUAGGAAGUGGUAAAAUGCUUUGAUCUAUCGAUGACCACCUGUGGCGAAGGCGGUCUACCAGAACACGUCCGACGGUGAGGGAUGAAAGCUGGGGGAGCAAACCGGAUUAGAUACCCGGGGAGUCCCAGCUGUAAACUAUGCAAACUCAGUGAUGCAUUGGCUUGUGGCCAAUGCAGUGCUGCAGGGAAGCCGUUAAGUUUGCCGCCUGGGAAGUACGUACGCAAGUAUGAAACUUAAAGGAAUUGGCGGGGGAGCACCACAAGGGGUGAAGCCUGCGGUUC